GAUUUGCACUGUUGCAGCAACAAUACACCCGGUAAAAACAGUUUAAAGCAGGCAGGGCUUGUAUGGCUCAGGGUCCCAGGCCUUGUAUGGGAAGCGUCUGCCCCUUCCCCAUGGCUUAAGUCCUAAAACCAGUGCUGUGUGUUGAAGGAUUCCAUGAAUCCCAGUUGGAUUUGGAAGCUUUGAGUGAUCUAGACACACAUUCCUCUUCCUCCUGCUCACAGGUAUGGCCAGGCUUCUGCCAGUGCUCGAGGGACUCAGAAAAGUCCAGCUUGGCAUCAAGCACCUAGAAAAGACGCUAAAACAAACCACAUCCCCUCCCUUCCUGGCCACAAUCUGCCUGAGUGGCUGUCAACCCUUCCAGGAAGCUCCAUGGCUGGCGCUUGCCUGCCGGGUUGCUAUCUUCCCCCUUAGCUUGUGCUUCCCGCCACGCUCCUAAGAAAUCUAGUGUCCGUGUCUGAGCUCAUUCCACCACAGGGCUCAUUGGAUCAGCACCUGUUGAUGGUGUUUUAUUUUGAACAGAUCUUGAGUCCCAGAUUCUGAGAUUUCCUCACACACUGACAGAUGCUCCUGACACCAUGCCUGCAGCUUGAGCCCGUGCCUCCCUGCUCUGACGGACUCAUCCCCCUGGAAGUGCCAAAUUUGAGGACUAAAAGUCUGAGGGGUUGAACUGUGUCACCAGCCAGAUCCAGCCACAGAACAG
rnacentral:lncRNA from 1 species